AUUGAACGCUGGCGGCAGGCUUAACACAUGCAAGUCGAACGAGUGGCGGACGGGUGAGUAAUGUCUGGGAACCUGCCCGGUGGCGGGGGAUAACUACUGGAAACGGUAGCUAAUACCGCAUACCAUCGGAUGUUCCCCUAUGGGAUUAGCUAGUAGGUGGGGUAAAGGCUCACCAAGGAGACGAUCCCUAGCUGGUCUGAGAGGAUGACAAGCGACACUGGAACUGAGACACGGACCAGACUCCUACGGGAGGCAGCAGUGGGGAAUUGUGGACAAUGGGGGAAAGCCUGAUGCAGCCAUGCCGCGUGUAUGAAGAAGGCCUUCGGGUUGUAAAGUACUUUUGGCAGGGAGGCGGUACCCGCAGAAGAAGCACCGGCUAACUACGUGCCAGCAGCCGCGGUAAUUC
rnacentral:rRNA from 1 species